GCGUGCCUAAUACAUGCAAGUAGAACGCUGAAGAGAGCAUUUUGCUCUUCUUGGAUGAGUUGCGAACGGGUGAGUAACGCGUAGGUAACCUGCCUUGUAGCGGGGGAUAACUAUUGGAAACGAUAGCUAAUACCGCAUAACAAUGGAUGACACAUGUCAUUUAUUUGAAAGGGGCAAAUGCUCCACUACAAGAUGGACCUGCGUUGUAUUAGCUAGUAGGUGAGGUAACGGCUCACCUAGGCGACGAUACAUAGCCGACCUGAGAGGGUGAUCGGCCACACUGGGACUGAGACACGGCCCAGACUCCUACGGGAGGCAGCAGUAGGGAAUCUUCGGCAAUGGGGGCAACCCUGACCGAGCAACGCCGCGUGAGUGAAGAAGGUUUUCGGAUCGUAAAGCUCUGUUGUAAGUCAAGAACGAGUGUGAGAGUGGAAAGUUCACACUGUGACGGUAGCUUACCAGAAAGGGACGGCUAACUACGUGCCAGCAGCCGCGGUAAUACGUAGGUCCCGAGCGUUGUCCGGAUUUAUUGGGCGUAAAGCGAGCGCAGGCGGUUUGAUAAGUCUGAAGUUAAAGGCUGUGGCUCAACCAUAGUUCGCUUUGGAAACUGUCAAACUUGAGUGCAGAAGGGGAGAGUGGAAUUCCAUGUGUAGCGGUGAAAUGCGUAGAUAUAUGGAGGAACACCGGUGGCGAAAGCGGCUCUCUGGUCUGUAACUGACGCUGAGGCUCGAAAGCGUGGGGAGCGAACAGGAUUAGAUACCCUGGUAGUCCACGCCGUAAACGAUGAGUGCUAGGUGUUGGAUCCUUUCCGGGAUUCAGUGCCGCAGCUAACGCAUUAAGCACUCCGCCUGGGGAGUACGACCGCAAGGUUGAAACUCAAAGGAAUUGACGGGGGCCCGCACAAGCGGUGGAGCAUGUGGUUUAAUUCGAAGCAACGCGAAGAACCUUACCAAGUCUUGACAUCCCGAUGCUAUUUCUAGAGAUAGAAAGUUACUUCGGUACAUCGGUGACAGGUGGUGCAUGGUUGUCGUCAGCUCGUGUCGUGAGAUGUUGGGUUAAGUCCCGCAACGAGCGCAACCCCUAUUGUUAGUUGCCAUCAUUCAGUUGGGCACUCUAGCGAGACUGCCGGUAAUAAACCGGAGGAAGGUGGGGAUGACGUCAAAUCAUCAUGCCCCUUAUGACCUGGGCUACGCACGUGCUACAAUGGUUGGUACAACGAGUUGCGAGUCGGUGACGGCAAGCUAAUCUCUUAAAGCCAAUCUCAGUUCGGAUUGUAGGCUGCAACUCGCCUACAUGAAGUCGGAAUCGCUAGUAAUCGCGGAUCAGCACGCCGCGGUGAAUACGUUCCCGGGCCUUGUACACACCGCCCGCCACACCACGAGAGUUUGUAACACCCGAAGUCGGUGAGGUAACCUUUUGGAGCCAGCCGCCUAAGGUGGGAUAGAUGAUUGGGGUG
rnacentral:rRNA from 1 species